GUGCUUGCUUUGGCAGCACGUAUACUAAAAUUGGAAAAAUACAGAGAAGAUUAGCAUGGUCCCUAUGCAAGGAUGACACAUAAAUUCGUGAAGCAUUCCAUUUUUUU